rnacentral:rRNA from 1 species
CUACGGGAGGCAGCAGUGGGGAAUUUUCCGCAAUGGGCGAAAGCCUGACGGAGCAAUACCGCGUGAGGGAAGACGGCCUAUGGGUUGUAAACCUCUUUUUUCAGGGAGGAAUUUUGACGUGUACCUGAAGAAUAAGCAUCGGCUAACUCCGUGCCAGCAGCCGCGGUAAGACGGAGGAUGCAAGUGUUAUCCGGAAUCACUGGGCGUAAAGCGUCUGUAGGUGGUUGAACAAGUCAACUGUUAAAUCUUGAGGCUCAACUUCAAAAUCGCAGUCGAAACUGUUUGACUAGAGUAUAGUAGGGGUAAAGGGAAUUUCCAGUGGAGCGGUGAAAUGCGUAGAUAUUGGAAAGAACACCGAUGGCGAAGGCACUUUACUGGGCUAUUACUGACACUCAGAGACGAAAGCUAGGGUAGCAAAUGGGAUUAGAUGCCCCAGUAGUCCUAGCCGUAAACAAUGGAUACUAGAUGUUGGACAGAUCGACCUGUGCAGUAUCAAAGCUAACGCGUUAAGUAUCCCGCCUGGGAAGUAUGCUCGCAAGAGUGAAACUCAAAG